rnacentral:rRNA from 1 species
GUAAAUAAUAAAGGGCGUAUGGUGGAUGCCUAGGCUCUCAGAGGCGAUGAAGGACGUGAUAAGCUGCGAAAAGCUCCGUUUAGGUGCAAAUAACCUUUGAUGCGGAGAUCUCCGAAUGGGAUAACCCAAUAUGUUGAAGACAUAUUAUACCGUAAGGUAGGCAAACGCAGGGAACUGAAACAUCUAAGUACCUGCAGGAGAAGAAAACAAACGUGAUUCCCCCAGUAGCGGCGAGCGACCGGGGAUAAGCCCAAACCGUUAUUGUUUCGGCAGUAGCGGGGUAGUAGGACUGCGACAUUGAUGAAAUAAAUGAAAUGGAACACCUUGGAAAAUGUGAUCACAGAGGGUGAUAAUCCCGUACAUGUAAGUUUAUGAAUCAUAGCAGACUCCUGAGUAAGUCGGGACACGUGUAAUCCUGACCGAAUCCGCCGGGACCAUCCGGCAAGGCUAAAUACUCCUGAGAGACCGAUAGUGAACCAGUACCGUGAGGGAAAGGUGAAAAGCACUUCGAACAGAAGAGUGAAAUAGUCCCUGAACCCAUACGCCUACAAGCAGUCGGAGCCGCUUCGUGCGGUGACGGCGUGCCUUUUGCAUAAUGAGCCUACGAGUUACUCAUCACCAGCGAGGUUAAGUACUUCAGGUACGUAAGCCGAAGCGAAAGCGAGUCUGAAUAGGGCGUCAAGUUGGUGGUGGUAGACGCGAAACCUUAGUGAUCUACCCAUGGGCAGGGUGAAGGUUUGGUAACACAAACUGGAGGCCCGAACCGGUAAACGUUGAAAAGUUUUCGGAUGACCUGUGGGUAGGGGUGAAAGGCCAAUCAAACUGGGAAAUAGCUCGUACUCUCCGAAAUGCAUUUAGGUGCAGCCUCUGUUGUUUUGUUCUAGAGGUAGAGCUACUGAUUGGAUGCGAGGGCUUCACCGCCUAUCAAAUCCGGCCAAACUCCGAAUGCUAGAACAUGAAGACAGGGAGUGAGCCAGCGGGUGCUAAGGUCCGUUGACGAAAGAGGGAGAACUCAGACCAUCAGCUAAGGUCCCCAAUUAUAUGCUAAGUUGGAAUAAAAACGGGGUGGGACUGCUUAGACAGCUAGGAUGUUGGCUUGGAAGCAGCCAUUCAUUUAAAGAGUGCGUAACAGCUCACUAGUCGAGCGGUCCUGCAUGGAUAAUACGCGGGCAUAAGCAUAUAACCGAAGCUAUGGGAUUGUAGAUGAUACAAUCGGUAGGAGAGCAUUCCAUUCAGCAUAGAAGCAGUAUCGUGAGGUAUUGUGGAGCGGAUGGAAAAGCAAAUGUAGGCAUAAGUAACGAUAAUGCGGGUGAGAACCCCGCACGCCGAAAGAUCAAGGAUUCCCCGGCAAUGUCAAUCAUCCGGGGGUAAGUCGGAUCCUAAGGGUAAGCCGAGUGGCGAUCCCGAUGGUAAACAGGUUAAUAUUCCUGUACUGAUCAUAACUGCGAUGCAGCGACGCAGAGGUGACACUGCUGCGUACUGACGGAAUAGUACGUUGAAACCCGUAUUCUUUGAUACCGGUAGUGAAGCACGCCGGUAGAGAUGAAAGGUGAUAGUACCGCAAUGCUUCGGUUGCGCGGAUAACGCAGGUAAGCUGACUGCCAAGAAAACCUGCUAAGCUUCAGGUAAUGAUCAUCCGUACUGUAAACGGACACACGUGAUCAGGUAGAAAAUACUAAGGCGCUCGAGAGAUUCAUGGUUAAGGAACUAGGCAAAAUGGUCCUGUAACUUCGGGAUAAAGGACGCUCUUGUGAAAGAGCCGCAGAUAAUAGGCCCAGGCGACUGUUUACCAAAAACACAUGGCUAUGCUAAUUCGCAAGAAGAUGUAUAUGGCCUGACACCUGCCCGGUGCCGGAAGGUUAAGAGGAGAGCUCAGAGGUAACUCGAAGGUUUGAAUUGAAGCCCCGGUAAACGGCGGCCGUAACUAUAACGGUCCUAAGGUAGCGAAAUUCCUUGUCGGGUAAGUUCCGACCUGCACGAAUGGUGUAAUGAUCUGGACACUGUCUCAACCGUGAGCUCAGUGAAAUUGUAGUAUCGGUGAAGAUGCCGAUUACCCGCGAUGGGACGAAAAGACCCCGUGAACCUUUACUAUAGCUUAACAUUGAAUUUGGGUAAUUGAUGUGUAGGAUAGGCCGGAGGCUUUGAAGCAGGUACGCCAGUAUUUGUGGAGCCGCUGUUGAAAUACGGCCCUUUGAUUAUUUGAGUUCUAACUCUUGGAUGAGAGGACACUGUUUGGUGGGUAGUUUGACUGGGGUGGUCGCCUCCAAAAGCGUAACGGAGGCUUCUAAAGGUGCCCUCCGGCCGAUUGGUAACCGGCCUUAGAGUGUAAUGGCAUAAGGGCGCUUGACUGGGAGACUAACAAGUCGAUCAGGUAGGAAACUAGAGCAUAGUGAUCCGGUGUUUCCGUAUGGAAGGGACAUCGCUCAAAGGAUAAAAGGUACUCCGGGGAUAACAGGCUGAUCCCUCCCAAGAGCUCAUAUCGACGGAGUGGUUUGGCACCUCGAUGUCGGCUCGUCACAUCCUGGGGCUGGAGAAGGUCCCAAGGGUUCGGCUGUUCGCCGAUUAAAGUGGCACGCGAGCUGGGUUCAGAACGUCGUGAGACAGUUCGGUCCCUAUCUGUUGUGGGCGUAGGAAAUUUGAGGAGACCUGACACUAGUACGAGAGGACCGUGUUGGACAGACCGCUGGUUUAUCAGUUGUUCCGCCAGGAGCACCGCUGAGUAUCUAAGUCUGGAAAGGAUAAGUGCUGAAAGCAUCUAAGUACGAAGCCAGCUUCAAGAUUAGAUUUCCCUGAAGGGUCGUUGCAGACGACGACGUAGAUAGGUUGCAGAUGUAAAGGCGGUAACGUCAAAGUCGAGCAAUACUAAUCACCCGAGACUUUCCGCUG